rnacentral:rRNA from 1 species
AAAUUAAAAAUUAAUAAUUUUAAUUUUAAUAAAAGUAAUUUUUAUAUUGAAAUAAGGGGGUUAAAGUAUUUUAAUAGAAAAAAUUAGAAAUUUUAUAGUUAAUUAGUAUAGUCAUAGAAAUUUGAAAAAUAUGAAAAUAAAUUUAAUUUAAAGUAAAUUUAAUUUAUUGUAUCUUGUGUAUCAGAGUUUAUUAAUUAAUUUUUAAAAAUUUAAAUAUCUCGAAUUUAAAAGAGUUAAUUAAUUAAUAAAUUUAAUGUUGAAUAAUUAUUUUAAAUAAUUAAUUAGAAAUGAAAUGUUAAUCGUUUUUAAAUAUAUCUAGUUAUUUUAGAAAAAAAUUUAAUUUUAAAUUUAUAGAAUAUUUWUAUAUUAUUUAAAUAAUUUAAAUAAAAAUAAAUUUUAUAAUUUAAGGGAUAAUCUUUAAAUUAAAAUUUUAUAAUUAAUUYUUUUUUUWUUAAAAUUUUUAAAAUUUAUAUUGUUUAAAAAUUAAAAUUUUUUAUAAAAAAUUNNNNNNNNNNNNNNNNNNNAUAAAUAAAAUUUAAAAAUAAAUUUAAUUUUAUAUAAAAAUAUGAUUUUUAAUUAUAAAUAAUUAGAAAUAAUGAUAAAAUUAGUAUAAUUAAUUAAAAUAAAAUAAAUAAAAUAAAUUUAAAAUUAAAUUAAAGGAAUUCGGCAAAAUUUUAUAUUCACCUGUUUAACAAAAACAUGUCUUUUUGAUUUUAAUUUAAAGUCUAAUCUGCCCACUGAUUAAAUAUUAAAGGGCUGCAGUAAUUUGACUGUACAAAGGUAGCAUAAUCAUUAGUCUUUUAAUUGGAGACUUGUAUGAAAGAUUUGAUGAGAUAUAAACUGUCUCUUAUUUAUAAUUAAAAUUUAAUUUUUUAGUUAAAAAGCUAAAAUAAAUUUAAAAGACGAGAAGACCCUAUAGAGUUUAAUAAUUUAUGAUUUAAAAUAUUUAUAUAAAAUUUUAAUAUUUAAUAAAAUAAAUUAUUUUGUUGGGGUGAUAAAAAAAUUUAAUAAACUUUUUUUUUUUAAAAUAAUCAUAAAUAAAUGAAUAAAUGAUCCUAAAUAAAGAUUAUAAGAAAAAAUUACCUUAGGGAUAACAGCGUAAUAUUUUUUUUUAGUACAAAUAAAAAAAAAAGUUUGCGACCUCGAUGUUGGAUUAAGAUAAAAUUUAAAUGCAAAAGUUUAAAAUUUUGAUCUGUUCGAUCAUUAAAAUCUUACAUGAUCUGAGUUCAAACCGGUGUAAGCCAGGUUGGUUUCUAUCUUUAAAAAAAUAAAAUAUUUUAGUACGAAAGGAUCAAAUAUUUAAAAUAAUUUUAUUAUUUAUGAAUUUUAAUAAUAGUUGUAUA